rnacentral:rRNA from 1 species
AGAGUUUGAUCCUGGCUCAGAUUGAACGCUGGCGGCAUGCCUUACACAUGCAAGUCGAACGGCAGCACGGGGGCAACCCUGGUGGCGAGUGGCGAACGGGUGAGUAACAUAUCGGAACAUACCCUAGAGUGGGGGAUAACGUAGCGAAAGUUACGCUAAUACCGCAUACGAUCUAAGGAUGAAAGUGGGGGAUCUUCGGACCUCAUGCUCAUGGAGUGGCCGAUAUCUGAUUAGCUAGUUGGUGAGGUAAAGGCUCACCAAGGCGACGAUCAGUAGCUGGUUUGAGAGAACGACCAGCCACACUGGAACUGAGACACGGUCCAGACUCCUACGGGAGGCAGCAGUGGGGAAUUUUGGACAAUGGGGGCAACCCUGAUCCAGCAAUGCCGCGUGAGUGAAGAAGGCCUUCGGGUUGUAAAGCUCUUUUGUCAGGGAAGAAACGGUGAGUUCUAAUACAGCUUGCUAAUGACGGUACCUGAAGAAUAAGCACCGGCUAACUACGUGCCAGCAGCCGCGGUAAUACGUAGGGUGCAAGCGUUAAUCGGAAUUACUGGGCGUAAAGCGUGCGCAGACGGUUAUAUAAGUCAGAUGUGAAAUCCCUGGGCUCAACCUAGGAACUGCAUUUGAGACUGUAUGGCUAGAGUGUGUCAGAGGGGGGUAGAAUUCCACGUGUAGCAGUGAAAUGCGUAGAGAUGUGGAGGAAUACCGAUGGCGAAGGCAGCCCCCUGGGAUAACACUGACGCUCAUGCACGAAAGCGUGGGGAGCAAACAGGAUUAGAUACCCUGGUAGUCCACGCCCU